AUUGAACGCUGGCGGCAUGCCUUACACAUGCAAGUCGAACGGCGUGGCGAACGGGUGAGUAAUGUAUCGGAACGUGCCCCUUAGCGGGGGAUAACUCCGCGAAAGCGUAGCUAAUACCGCAUACUAUUGGAGCGGCCUAGGUGGGCUUAGCUAGUUGGUGGGGUAAAGGCUUACCAAGGCGACGAUCCGUAGCUGGUUUGAGAGGAGGAACAGCCAAAAUGGGACUGAGACACGGCCCAGACUCCUACGGGAGGCAGCAGUGGGGAAUGUUGGACAAUGGGGGAAACCCUGAUCCAGCCAUCCCGCGUGUGGGAAGAAGGCCUUCGGGUUGUAAAGCACUUUUGGUAGGAAAGCGGUACCUGAAGAAUAAGCACCGGCUAACUACGUGCCAGCAGCCGCGGUAAUAC
rnacentral:rRNA from 1 species